AACUCCAUCAUUUAUAUCUUAAUUGAGAUGUUUGGACAUAGAUGUACUUAUAUAAACACAAACUAAUUUAAAGUUUUCUUUUUAAUUUUAAGCUUAAUAUGAUUAAAUUAGUUAUGGAAUAAUCAGUUGUACUAUAAUCAUAUUGUACUGUUCAAACUGAAUGAAAUAUACCUCCCUUUAUUUAAAAAAGUCUGCAGAAUUGAUUAAAUAGAUGACAAUGUAAUUUCCAUUACAAGUGCUUUUUCUGCCAUCUAGUGGAAAAAUGAAAUCCAUGAGGAUUCAUAAUUUAUAUGUUUUAAUUCUAUUGUCUUUUAAACUAUUUAGGAAAGGCUUAUUGGAAAUCUCAAGAAAAGAAAACAAAACGUUGCAUUCCCUCCCUAUUUCUGAUUUGGUCUGCAGGUAGACCAGCUGUGGAUCACCUUAAGCAUUCCUCAUGUUGCCAAAGAAACUAAAUACAGAAAAAGCAUGUACUAGGUAAAAUAUGCUGCUGACAAUUCCAAGAAGUGGAAAAGCUAGCUGCCAUCCUUAUGUAUGAAGGCCCUGUUGGGUGCCUUUCUCUCUGUGUUCCUGGAAUGAUCUGUACUUUCUUCUAUCAUAGUGCUUAUUCCUGUACUGCAUGUAUUGUCUCCAUGAACUCCUUG
rnacentral:lncRNA from 10 species